GACGAACGCUGGCGGCGUGCUUAACACAUGCAAGUCGAACGGAAAGGCCCCUUUUGGGGUACUCGAGUGGCGAACGGGGGAGUAACACGUGAGUAACCUUCCCUUGACUUCGGGAUAACCUCAGGAAACUGGGGCUAAUACCGGCUAGGAAUCCUUGCUGCAUGGUGGGGGUUGGAAAGCUUCGGCGGUUUUGGAUGGGCUCGCGGCUUAUCAGCUUGUUGGUGGGGUAGUGGCUUACCAAGGCUUUGACGGGUAGCCGGCCUGAGAGGGCGACCGGCCACAUUGGGACUGAGAUACGGCCCAGACUCCUACGGGAGGCAGCAGUGGGGAAUAUUGCACAAUGGGCGGAAGCCUGAUGCAGCAACGCCGCGUGCGGGAUGACGGCCUUCGGGUUGUAAACCGCUUUCAGCAGGGGCGAAGCUUGUGGUGACGGUACCUGCAGAAGAAGCACCGGCUAACUACGUG
rnacentral:rRNA from 1 species